GUGCUCACCUCAGCAGCACAGAGACUAAAAUUGGAACAGAGACGAUUAGCAUGGCCCCUGCACAGGAUGACACACAGAUUUGUGAAGCAUUCGAUUUCAAG
ensembl:snRNA LOC120103218 U6 spliceosomal RNA